rnacentral:lncRNA from 1 species
GGACAGGAUAUGGGUAAGAUGUAGCUGCUAGUUUUCUGGUAUCAUGGCAGAUCUAGAGGAAUCAGAUUUUAAUAAGGCCUACAAGAUUAGGUUUUAGUUGUUGCUCCGUGUUUUCCUUCAUGCAGUGGCUCGUCUGGGUUCAAGAGAGAAAGCUCCUGCUUCCUGACCUGCUUGAGUUCCAGUCCUGACUUCCUUGGUGAUCAACAGCAGUGUGGA